rnacentral:lncRNA from 13 species
AUGAAAAAGUCAGCGUUUUUUUUGGGUCGAAAGAACCAAUCACUUUUCGACACCAAUAUUAAAAUCAAGGAGAUGGACAAUGUUGAGCUGGUGUUGGAUUCAUCAGCCAUUCCUGAAUCAGGCACUGCCAAAGUGAGGAACAGACCCACAGUAAAACACUUCACAUCCUCCUCUGAUGUUGUACAAGGGUUUAAUGUACCAACACCCAAAGUUCCUGUCCUCCCCCCUUUCAACAGACCAAAGAUCAACGGGGCAGUAAACGGUGAACGGUUGUCCAAUGGAUCUGCUGUAUCUGUACCUGAUUUGGUGGAGGGAGAGAUAUUUAUUCCACCUCCACCUUCGAUGGCCCCCCCACCCCCUCCACCCAUAUUCAACCCUCCCCCACCAGAUUUCUUGGGUGACCUCAACUCCAUUCAGCCUCCCUCCAUGCCCCCUCCAAAACCCCCAUCAAAACCACCAUCAAAACCACCAUCAGUUGCCCCCUCUGAAGGGGACAAGAAUGUUUUCACCUCCAUGAAACUUCCACCUAUGGCCCCUCCGAAGCCCCCGUCAACUUCCUCCAGUGCUUCUAGUUCCUCUUUGUCCAGUUCCACACCACCACCAACCACUGUCCCUGAUAUCACAGAGCCCCCAAAGUUUGCCCCUCCCCAGCCCCCUACAGACAUGAGGCAAGCUGCUCUGAAAGCCCUGAAGACACCGCCUACAAAGCCAAUGAGGCUGUCCUCCAUCCCCAUUAUAUGUGAACUCCCCCAGGUUCCAGCCCCAGCACCCCCUGUACAGAACCCUAGACCGUCCAGCUUCAACCCCCAGAACACAGCUAAGCUCUACAGUGUUCCUAAGACCGGCAUUCUAGAUAGGCAGGUGGAAGGUGAAAAUAAGCACAAGCAGAUCCUACUGCUGCAUGACCCUGGGUCUACUGACUCCAUACAUGUCAAUGGGACAGCCCCCUCUGUGGCACCACCAGUUAAGCCAGCCCGGAGAAACAGCUCAGGUAUGCAGCUGGAGCAAGACCUGAAGGAGUUAAAGGAUAAUUUUAAAGCCACCCUUCAAGGCCAACCCACCCCACCUGAGACUCGGGAGGAAGUGAAAGUGGGGCCUUUGCCUUUAUUAGCACAGCAGGCUAUCAACAAACCUGCCGAAACUCCCACUAAAGCAUCACCAAUGCUUCAGGUCGUCACUGCCCCUGUAACCAUAGAGGCUAGCCAGGUCAAACACAAAGUGUCUCCAAACCGGAGUCGCAAGUUCAGUCCAAUGCUGGACCGUAAACUGCGCAACCUAAAGUUCAGUGCGGUCACUGGGACGAGGGAGGGUCCUGCCACUUCCCCCCUGGCUCUUCUCAUGGCGGCUAAAGAGCGAGAGAAGCACAGGUCCAAUUUGUCACGCGAAAACAGCACAAAGAGUAAUGAGCCAUCCACCAGCAUCCAGCACAGCGAAUCCAAUCCCAAUUCUUUCACCAUCAUCCCCAGGUCCACCUCAUUCACUUCUGUGACCUCACAAGAUAAUCCACAGUCUGUGGUCCCAGUGCAGCCCCCAGUGGUGAUCCAGACUCCAGCAAAACCCCAGAUCAUUGAGUCAGUGGUGGAAAAGAGGCCAAUUGCAAAUCCAGUAUUUCAGGGGCUCCUGGCUGUGGAGAAACAAAGUGGAGAGCAGAGGAUUUCUUCCCCCUUUAGCCUUGUCAGGAAUGAAGAGAACAGGGAGGACCUAUGCUUGCCAUUACUCCCUCCCCCUCCCGAAUUUGAUGACCAUGAUGAUGUCAUGGAGUCUCCCCCCAGCUCGCCUCCACCUGACCCUCCCCCAAAGAAGGUCCUGGACCCCAUUCCCACCCCUACCUUUCCAGUCCUGCCCCCCACUGCCGGCCUUAUCGUUCCUGUCAAAACUCCCUCCCCUGCGCCCCCCCCUCCUCCAAAACCCAAACCUCCAAGCCCUCCCAAACUCCUGCCUCCCGUCAUGGAGAUCAAACCCAAGCUACCUGUUCAGACCACAACCAAGCCACCUCCUACCCAGGCGCCCUCCUCCCUCUCAGCCAGCCAGGCCACGCUCCUGACCAUCCUGCAGAAGAAGAUGCUGGAAAUGGACCACAAAAUGGACAACAAAAUGCUGUCCAUGAAGACAGACUCUGAUGACUGGGGUUCUCCCUUGUCUGAGGAGACCAUGAUCCCUGUUGUCCCCAGGGUCACCCCGAAGACCCCUGUUAUCACCGCAAAGAGCAAGAAUGCCACCUUAUCAGCCAAAACACAAGGCCUGGACAUGAAGGAGCUGGAGACUAAAAUGGCCAAGAAUUCUCAGGGUUUGUCAGCUCCAUCAAAAGUACCCAUCAGCAAUGGGCCACAGUCAAAGCAAGCGUAUGGCAUGACUUUCAUGGUACGACCCGGAACCAAACAACCAAUAACUGUUGUCAGCAAAGGGGUCUCAUCAUGA